rnacentral:tRNA from 1 species
GCUUUCAAAGGAUAAUAGUCCAUCCGUUGGUCUUAGGAACCAAAAACUCUUGGUGCAACUCCAAGUGUAAGCU